GACGAACCGUGCGAACGUUGUUCGGAAUCACUGGGCUUGAAGGGCGCGUAGGCGGGCUGCCAAGUCCGUAGGUGAAAUCCCCCGGCUCAACCGGGGAACGGCCUCGGAUACUGGCGGCCUCGAGGGGGGUAGGGGCGUGCGGAACUGUGGGUGGAGCGGUGAAAUGCGUUGAGAUCCACAGGAACUCCGGUGGCGAAGGCGGCACGCUGGACCCUUUCUGACGCUGAGGCGCGAAAGCCAGGGGAGCGAACGGG
rnacentral:rRNA from 1 species